rnacentral:rRNA from 1 species
GAUGGACGCUGGCGGCGUGCCUAAUACAUGCAAGUCGAACGCAUUGUGGUUGAAAUGAUAUGAAGAACUUGUUCAGAUUUGAUUUUCAACAUUGCAAUGAGUGGCGAACGGGUGAGUAACACGUGGGAAACCUACCUCUUAGCAGGGGAUAACAUUUGGAAACAAUGCUAAUACCGUAUAAUAUUAAAACCGCAUGGUUUUAGUUUAAAAGAUGGUCUUGCUAUCACUAAGAGAUGGUCCCGCGGUGUAUUAGUUAGUUGGUGAGGUAAUGGCUCACCAAGACAAUGAUACAUAGCCGAGUUGAGAGACUGACCGGCACAAUGGGACUGAGACA